rnacentral:rRNA from 1 species
UACGGAGGGGGCUAGCGUUGUUCGGAAUUACUGGGCGUAAAGCGCACGUAGGCGGCUUUGCAAGUUAGAGGUGAAAGCCCGGGGCUCAACUCCGGAAUUGCCUUUAAAACUGCAUCGCUAGAAUUGUGGAGAGGUAAGUGGAAUUCCGAGUGUAGAGGUGAAAUUCGUAGAUAUUCGGAAGAACACCAGUGGCGAAGGCGGCUCACUGGACUGGUAUUGACGCUGAGGUGCGAAAGCGUGGGGAGCAAACAGG